GCAAGUCGAACGGGCUAGUGCUUCGCACUAGUCUCUUUCUGGGGUUGUUACUCUAAGGCUACCUGCUAAGGUUAUUGCUUUAAAGCAGGGGUUUUAGGAGACUUUCCCCGAAAGGGGCCAGUGCGGAGCACUGGCCAGUGGCGAACGGGUGAGUAACACGUGGGUAAUCUACCCUCGAGUGGGGAAUAAGCUUCCGAAAGGGGGUCUAAUGCCGCAUAACGUUUCAUAACGAUGGUUAUGAAACCAAAGCCCAAAAGGCGCUCGAGGAGGAGCCUGCGUCCUAUCAGCUUGUUGGCAGGGUAAUGGCCUACCAAGGCUAUGACGGGUAGCCGGCCUGAGAGGGUGUCCGGCCACACUGGAACUGAGACACGGUCCAGACUCCUACGGGAGGCAGCAGUGGGGAAUUUUGCGCAAUGGGGGAAACCCUGACGCAGCGACGCCGCGUGGAGGAUGACGGCCUUCGGGUUGUAAACUCCUGUCAGAAGGGACGAAAUCCCGCAAGGGACUGACGGUACCUUCAGAGGAAGCCCCGGCUAACUACGUG
rnacentral:rRNA from 1 species